rnacentral:rRNA from 1 species
UACGUAGGGUGCGAGCGUUAAUCGGAAUUACUGGGCGUAAAGCGUGCGCAGGCGGUUCUCCAAGUCCGUUGUGAAAGCCCCGGGCUCAACCUGGGAAUGGCAGUGGAAACUAGGGGACUGGAAUCUGGCAGAGGGGGGUGGAAUGCCGCGUGUAGCAGUGAGAUGCGUAGAGAUGCGGCGGAACACCGAUGGCGAAGGCAGCCCCCUGGGCUGAGAUUGACGCUCAGGCACGAAAGCGUGGGGAGCAAACAGG